rnacentral:rRNA from 1 species
UACAGAGGUCUCAAGCGUUGUUCGGAUUCAUUGGGCGUAAAGGGCGCGUAGGCGGCCCUGGCAAGUCGGGGGUGAAAGCUCGGGGCUCAACCCCGAAAGGGCCCCCGAUACUGCCGGGCUGGAGGGCUGGAGAGGAGACCGGAAUUCACGGUGUAGCAGUGAAAUGCGUAGAGCUCGUGAGGAAGACCGGUGGCGAAGGCGGCUACCUGGACACCAACUGACGCUGAGACGCGAAAGCGUGGGGAGCAAACAGG